rnacentral:rRNA from 1 species
UACGUAGGGGGCAAGCGUUGUCCGGAUUCAUUGGGCGUAAAGCGCGUGUAGGCGGCCAGGUAGGUCUGCUGUGAAAACUCGAGGCUCAACCUCGAGACGUCGGCGGAAACUGCAAAGCUAGAGUCCGGAAGAGGAGAGUGGAAUUCCUGGUGUAGCGGUGAAAUGCGCAGAUAUCAGGAAGAACACCCGUGGCGAAGGCGGCUCUCUGGGACGGUACUGACGCUGAGACGCGAAAGCGUGGGGAGCGAACAGG